GCUCCGUUGGUGAACCAGCGGAGGGAUCAUUAUAGGAACUCGCAAGACUCCUAACCCACUGUGAACCUACCCGACGUUGCCUCGGCGGGCGCCCGGCCUCGCGCCGGGCACCAAGCCCGCCGGCGGCCCCCUACUCUGUCUCUGCAGCGUUGUGUCUCCGAGUAUACCAAAACAAGUCAAAACUUUCAACAACGGAUCUCUUGGCUCUA
rnacentral:misc_RNA from 1 species